rnacentral:rRNA from 1 species
UGGCGGCCGUAGCGCGGUGGUCCCACCUGACCCCAUGCCGAACUCAGAAGUGAAACGCCGUAGCGCCGAUGGUAGUAUGGGGUCUCCCCAUGCGAGAGUAGGGAACUGCUAGGCA